rnacentral:rRNA from 1 species
AAAACAUGGUCUUUUGAAUAAAUAAUAGAUCUAUUUUGCUCAAUGAUAAUUUAAAUAGCCGCAGUACUUUGACUGUGCUAAGGUAGCAAAAUAAUUUGACUCUUAAUUGGGGCCGCGUAUGAAAGAAAUAUUGGUUAAUAAGUGUCUUUCUUUUAUAAAUAACAAUUUACUUUAUUUGGUGAAAAUUCCAAUAUAAUAAAAAUUAGACGAGAAGACCCUUAGAAUUUUCAAAAUUUAUAUUAUAAAUAUAUUUUUUUUUGUUGGGGCGACAAAAUAUACAAUUUUAACUUAUAAAUUAUUACAUGUCUUAAAAUAAUUUGUGGAAAUAAUUACCUAAGGGAUAACAGCAUAAUAUUUUUUUGUUUGUGACCUCGAUGUUGGAUUAGGGACUAAAUUGAUUAAAAAUUACCUUAGUUGCUUCUGUUCGAAGCUUUCUACCUACGUGAUCU